rnacentral:lncRNA from 1 species
AUUAGGCGGGCACAACAGUGAUCUUCUUUUUGACGUAUGUUCCUUGGUCAUGAUCUUGACGUAACCAUGGAGUGUCCUCAGCAUUUAUCAGUAUGCUUGGAUCUUUGGUCACAUUGAAAGGCGUGAUUCGGUCAUCUCUUUCAUAAUCUUCUAAAAUAUCUGACUUGUCCUCAAUUCCCACAAUGUUUCUUUUCCCUGAGAGAACUAUAUGGCGUUUUGGCUCGUUUGUUGAUUUGUUGUCA